rnacentral:tRNA from 1 species
GCCGGGAUGGCGGAACUGGUAGACGCAGCGGACUUAAAAUCCGCCUCUGUAACAAGAGUACCGGUUCGAUUCCGGUUCCCGGCA